CCUACGGGAGGCAGCAGUGAGGAAUAUUGGUCAAUGGCCGGAAGGCUGAACCAGCCAAGCCGCGUGAAGGACGAAGGUGCCCAGCAUUGUAAACUUCUUUUGUCAAGGGACAAAAUCAGGCUCGAGAGCCUGACCGAGGGUACUUGAAGAAAAAGCAUCGGCUAACUCCGUCCCAGCAGCCGCGGUAAUACGGAGGAGGCGAGCGUUAUCCGGAUUUAUGGGGUUUAAGGGGUGCGUAGGCGGGCUGUUAAGUCAGCGGUAAAAGCCCGGGGCUCAACCCCGGCUAGCCGUUGAAACUGGCUGUCUUGAGAUGUCGAGAGGUAAGCGGAAUGCGCAGUGUAGCGGUGAAAUGCUUAGAUAUUGCGCAGAACUCCGAUUGCGAAGGCAGCAUACCGGCGGCGAUCUGACGCUGAGGCACGAAAGCGUGGGUAUCGAACAGGAUUAGAUAUCCGGGUAGUC
rnacentral:rRNA from 1 species